rnacentral:misc_RNA from 1 species
GAUGAAGAACGCAGCGAAAUGCGAUACGUAAUGUGAAUUGCAGAAUUCAGUGAAUCAUCGAAUCUUUGAACGCAUAUUGCGGUCUUUGGUAUUCCGAAGAGCAUGCUUGUUUGAGUAUCAGUAAACACCUCAACCUCUUCUUGAUUUUUCAAAAGGAGGGUGGACUUGAGCUAUCCCAACAACCUUUACCGGUCGGCGGGCGGCUUGAAAUGCAGGUGCAGCUGGACUUUUAUCUGAGCUAAAAGCAUAUCUAUUUAGUCCUCGUCAAACAGGAUUAUUACUUUUGCUGCAGCUAACAUAAAGGAUAAUUGUCCUCUUUGCUGACUGAUGCAGGAUUUUACGACACUUUAUGUGUUGUUCAACUCGAUCUCAAAUCAAGUAAGACUACCCGCUGAACUUAAGCAUAUCAAUAAGCGGAGGA